rnacentral:rRNA from 1 species
AACGAACGCUGGCGGCAGGCUUAACACAUGCAAGUCGAACGAGCUGGCGGCUUCGGUGCCCGUUGCUAGUGGCGCACGGGUGAGUCACACGUGGGAAUAUGCCCUUUAGUACGGAAUAACAAAGCGAAACUUUGGCUAAUACCGUAUACGCCCUUCGUGGGAAAGAUUUAUCGCUAAAGGAUUAGCCCGCGUCUGAUUAGGUAGUUGGUGAGGUAAUGUCUCACCAAGUCGGCGAUCAGUAGCUGGUCUGAGAUGAUGCUCAGCGACAACGGGACUGAGACACGGCCCAGAACUGGACGGCAAGCAGCCAUGUGGAAUAUUGGCCUAGGCAGGACACCCUUAGCCAGCCACGCCGAGUGCGUGAAGAAGGCCCUCGGGUUGUAAAGCUCUCUUGAAGGGGACGAUGAUGACGGUACCCGGAUAAGAAGCCCCGGAAACCCUGGUG